GGUCAGGUGACUGUGACUCAGACUCCUUCAGUGCAAACUGUUGCUCCAGGAAACACAGUCACCAUCAACUGUAGAACCAGUAGCAGUGUGGAUGGUGGUUAUUAUCUCGCCUGGUACCUGCAGAAACCUGGAGAAGCUCCUAAACCCCUGAUCUACUAUGCUACUUACUUACAGUCAGGGACUCCAGCUCGUUUCAGCGGCAGUGGAUCGAAGACUGACUUCACUCUGACCAUCAGUGGAGUCCAGACUGAAGAUGCAGGAGAUUACUACUGUCAGAGUUAUCAUAGUAGCAAUGUGUUCACACAGUGUUAGAGCGUCGUACAAAAACCUGGGUCAGU